rnacentral:rRNA from 1 species
UACGUAGGGUGCAAGCGUUGUCCGGACUUAUUGGGCGUAAAGAGCUCGUAGGCGGUCUGUCGCGUCUGCUGUGAAAACCUGGGGCUUAACCCCGGGCCUGCAGUGGGUACGGGCAGACUAGAGUGCGGUAGGGGAGACUGGAAUUCCUGGUGUAGCGGUGAAAUGCGCAGAUAUCAGGAGGAACACCGGUGGCGAAGGCGGGUCUCUGGGCAACAACUGACGCUGAGGAGCGAAAGCGUGGGGAGCGAACAGG